CACUUACCCUCCUCUAAUAAUUAUGCAACACGAGUCCGCAAAUCGAACCUCACGAAAGUAAAACUUUGUGCGUGCUUCUAUCGAGCCACACAAACAAACAACGUACUAAAGAAAACAAUAAUUCAUUAUAUCACACCUGAUUAGCAGUAAUCAAGGAGCUCAAACAAGAAGCUGUAUUGAACGUCCGACGCAGAAUCUGCAAGGUCACCGCUGACAUUGAAACGCGAGGACAAUUUAUGAAGAGGAUUUACAAUGAUUACUUACACGUACAGACGAGCUCACAACCCACCUGGUGUCAAGUAUCUACUGGAGCCUAUAGAGAUCUACAACGUAAAUGCCGCUACCUACCUAGAGAUAUUUAUUUAUUUAAUUUACUUCAGAUUUUGCAUCCAUAUUACACAUUAACAUUUCAUUUAUAUUAAAAUUAAAUAAAAAUAAUAACUACAAUCUCGGUCUAAAAAAAGCAAUAAUAAUAAUAAUAAUAAAAACAAAAAAUCAAAUAAUAAUAAUCACUACAUAGUAUAAAACAAAGGCGCUUUCUCUGUCCCUAUAUAUGUAUCUGUCUGUCCCUAUGUAUGCUUAAAUCUUUAAAACUACGCAACGGAUUUCGAUGCGGUUUUUUUUAAUAGAUAGAGUGAUUGAAGAGGAAGGUUUAUAUGUAUAAUAACAUCAAUUAAAUAGUGGAGAAAUCAAUAAUAAAUUACAGUUUCCGAAGCGAAGCGAGGGCGGGUCGCUAGUAAUAAUAAUAAAACAAAAACUCAAAAUUAACAUCUAAACAACCUUAACCUAAAGGCUGGUUUGGAUCCAGAGUGCUCAACAGGCACACGUGUCCAGUGUUGCAUUAUUGGGCAGUCCAGAUCCAUCCGUGAGGAUCCGUACAUAUGAACUACAUAUUUCCUCAAUCCUAUCGCUUUCUUAAUGAUAUCUAAAGGCGAUACGUUCUCAUAGACAACCGAUUAAGUUUCUUCCUUAAGUACUUACCAAGAACGAAGAAAUAUAAACCGUUUAUAAGAAAACCUGCUCGUUCGAAUUUAGGUGCUUACUCUCCCUUAAACAGAAUCCUUUGGGACUACAAUAAUGUUCACGGUAGCGCGGUCUCUGUCAACUAAUUUUAAAUAAAAUACAUAUAUGUUUUUUUCUAAAUGUCUCACAACUUACAUGAACACUCUGUCGGGGAUCAUUUCCCAAUUAAAUAUAAAUUAAUCUUAAGCAAUCAAUCAAAUGUAAUCAAAUCUUAGUUAUAUAUUUUUUUUAUUUUGUUGUUAAUGCACUGUCGAUUGCACCUAUAAUUGAGGUGACAUCUGCCAUUAACUUUUGUCAAUUUGCCGACGUUUUGUGUUGAUGAUCACUUUGUUAGUGCAACUUAAUAAAUAAAUAAAUUUCUUCAGAAAUUCACAAUUCCGAUCCGGUGGUAGAUUCGGCACUUCUCUUGCUAGAGCUGUUUUUUAUAGAAGCUAAUAGAUACUUUUAUUAAAUUUCGACGCUAUUGACUAAUUCGAAAUUUAAUAAGAUGCAUAGGUAUUUAAAUAUUUGAAUAUAAUUAUUACAAUGAGAGGUAAAAUAAUAUAUCUUAAGGGGGUUUUGAGUAGAACAGUAUAUAAAUAUAAUAUACAACUUUAUAUGUAAAUGAAAGCAACUAAGAUGUCAUGUAAAUUUAAUAAAUGGUUAAUAUAAUGUUUUGUAAAAUUGUAAAUAGCAUAUAAAUGUAUUAAAAAAAAAUUGUAUAAUAAAUGUAAAAGACAGUGCAUUAAAUUAUAUUUAAGUGUUAUUAAAUUUUUUGAGGCAGAUUCUUUAAGGCUUGGAUCCGUUCGCUCGCCAACCAAACAUGCUGAAGCUAGAAUAGCCCCUCAAAGCGACUGGUAGAUGGUCAAAAAGGUGAUUCACUUAAAUGACGUAUAUAUAAUUUUUAAUUAUUAAUAUAUUCCUUUUAAUACCGUAUAAACUAUUAUAUGUAUAUAUGUAUAUGUGAUUGUGUAUAUAUGUAUGUAUAUACUUCUUUUUUUGUGUGUAUGUGUUUGUAAAUUAAUAUAUAUUUCAUUGCACCUACCACUAUUCACUCUGCACUACCUUUGGUUGACUGGUAGAGAAUGCUUUAGGCAUUAAGUCCGCCAAUGUAAAUUUUACAUGAAGUGUAAUAAAUAAAUAAAAAUAAAAUAAUUUUAUACCGCCCACGAAUGAUUGUUGAAUUUCGUUGAAAUUCGCUGUUAAAAUCCACCCAAAUGUUUAUGACCCCGAUCCAUUGUACGCACCCUAUGGCGUACGUUACGUCUUAAAAAUUCAUAAAACAAUCAUCCUACCGAGACGGAGACAGCCAAGGAAAAAAAUAACAUACUUGUAAUAUAGUUUAGAUAUUUUUUUCGUACCUAUUCUCAGGUACGCCCAGACGAGUAAGUAGGUGAGCUCACAGGCUCAACCCGAGAUAAUUUGCUAACACUAGCCCUGGCAAGAGCAGUGCUUCGUGGAAUCUACCACCGAAUCGGAAUCGCGACCCACUGAGAAGAUCCGGCGAGAAACUCAGUGGGCUGUGUCUGUGGGUUAAUUUACUCGCCGAGCCUUUCGUCGCAAGCCACGACGGGUUCGACGAGAACGAUGAUUCGGUCGUGGACUUAAGAGCUCCGAUUAACUGUGAAAGCUUAAACACGCAUUAAGGACCGAUGACAGUAUAUCUUCUUCUAUAUAUGUAUAUAAAAGAAAGUCGUGUUAGUUACCCUACUUAUAACUCAAGAACGGCUGAACUGAUUUGGCUGCAAAUUGGUGGGGAGGUACCUUAUAACCAGGAGAAGGACAUAGAAUAUUUUAUCCGUCUUGCAUUCGCCAUGACCAUAAACAAAUCACAAGGCCAAUCCUUAAAAAUUUGUGGUCUGCAUCUAGAAAAUCUAUGUUUUUUCCAUGGUCAAUUAUAUGUGGCAUGUUCAUGGAUCGGAAGACCAUCUGCGUUAUUUGCUCUUGCACCUGAUAAUAAAACGAAAAAUGUCGUCUAUCACAAAGUACUUUAUUAAAGAGUGCAGUGGAACCCAUGCAAUAAAACACGUGACCAAUAAAGAAUCAUUAAAAUA